rnacentral:rRNA from 1 species
CCUACGGGUGGCAGCAGUGGGGAAUAUUGGGCAAUGGGCGCAAGCCUGACCCAGCAACGCCGCGUGAAUGAUGAAGGUCUUCGGAUUGUAAAGUUCUUUUCUAAGGGAAGAAGAAAGUGACGGUACCUUAGGAAUAAGCCUCGGCUAACUACGUGCCAGCAGCCGCAGUAAUACGUAGGAGGCAAGCGUUAUCCGGAAUGACUGGGCGUAAAGGGUGCGUAGGUGGUUUGGCAAGUUAGUAGCGUAACUCCGGAGCUCAACUUCGGAACUACUACUAAAACUGUCGGACUUGAGUGCAGGAGGGGCAACUGGAAUUCCUAGUGUAGCGGUGGAAUGCGUAGAUAUUAGGAGGAACACCAGUGGCGAAGGCGAGUUGCUGGACUGUAACUGACACUGAGGCACGAAAGCGUGGGGAGCAAACAGGAUUAGAUACCCUU